GAUGAACGCUGGCGGCGUGCCUAAUACAUGCAAGUCGAGCGAACAGACGAGGAGCUUGCUCCUCUGACGUUAGCGGCGGACGGGUGAGUAACACGUGGAUAACCUACCUAUAAGACUGGGAUAACUUCGGGAAACCGGAGCUAAUACCGGAUAAUAUAUUGAACCGCAUGGUUCAAUAGUUAAAGACGGUUUUGCUGUCACUUAUAGAUGGAUCCGCGCCGCAUUAGCUAGUUGGUAUGGUAACGGCUUACCAAGGCGACGAUGCGUAGCCGACCUGAGAGGAUGAUCGGCCACACUGGAACUGAGACACGGUCCAGACUCCUACGGGAGGCAGCAGUAGGGAAUCUUCCGCAAUGGGCGAAAGCCUGACGGAGCAACGCCGCGUGAGUGAUGAAGGUCUUCGGAUCGUAAAGCUCUGUUAUUAGGAAAGAACAAAUGUGUAAGUAACUAUGCACGUCUUGACGGUACCUAAUCAGAAAGCCACGGCUAACUACGUG
rnacentral:rRNA from 1 species